rnacentral:rRNA from 1 species
AGAAUCAACGCUGGCGGCGUGCCUAACACAUGCAAGUCGAACGCGAAAGGGGAGCAAUCCCUGAGUAGAGUGGCAAACGGGUGAGUAACACGUGGGUGACCUGCCUCAGAGUGGGGGAUAACGUCCCGAAAGGGACGCUAAUACCGCAUAACAUCCUGCCUUUGGAAAGGCGGAGAUCAAAGCCGGGGAUCGCAAGACCUGGCGCUUGGAGAGGGGCCCGCGUCUGAUUAGCUAGUUGGUAGGGUAAUGGCCUACCAAGGCAACGAUCAGUAUCCGGCCUGAGAGGGCGACGGACACACUGGGACUGAGACACGGCCCAGACUCCUACGGGAGCAGCAGUGGGGAAUA